GGAGAUUGAUGGCAAAGAUUGUUAACUCCAAGUAGUUCUUUGUAUAUCUGCUUUAACUUUGGACAGAGCACACAAAAUGAGCAACACUUACUAUCUUCCACUCUACUUGGCUUUUGUUUUUCUAAUCGUACUUCUUUUGAACCUUUCAGACAUCUUACUAGUGCAGGCAAAUGGUGAAAGCAAAGUGAGAAAUGAGCAUUUUCUCUUUUACUAGUCUACUUAGUAAUAACUCUUCCAGAUUCUCAUAUGUUUUUUUAAUUGUAUAGCAGAUAUUAGAUAUGAUUGUUAAACAUAUAUAGGUUCAUGUUGUUUACUUGGGAAGAAGGAAACAAGAUGAUGUCGAACUCACAACAUCAUCUCACCAUCAAAUACUUUCUUCAGUCCUUGGAAGGUAAUCCAGGGAAAAGAUAAAGCUAAUUAAUUCCUAUGGUCUCCUCUAUACUUGAUAUUCCGAAAACAUGAAGGAAGUAACAUAUUAUAUAGUUCACAACGUUUUGUUUUCGUCUAUGUUUCUUCUAAUGCAGUCAAGAGGCAGCAAAGGAAUCUAUCAUCUACAGUUACAGACAUGGCUUUUCCGGCUUUGCAGCUAAGUUAACAGAAGCUCAAGCCAAAAGGAUUGCAGAAUUACCUGAUGUGGUCCAUGUAGUUCCAAAUUAUUUCUACCAGCUGCACACAACAAGAAGUUGGGAUUACCUUGGACUGUCCACAUACUCUCCUCCAACAAACCUUCUUCAUGAAGCCAACAUGGGAGAUGGUAUCAUCAUAGGUGUCCUUGAUACAGGUUUUGUUGGGUUUUAAAGGUGUGAACAGGAAAUGAAGGGUUGUGACUCUCCUGAAGAGUUAUGACUAUGCCGAAGGGUUGUGAGCUUUAUGAAAGGUUGUGUCCUUUCUAAAGGAUUGUGACCGUUUGAAAGGUUAUGCCUUUUCCCAAGUGUUGUGACCUUUCUGAAAGGUUGUCUUCUUUCUGAAAGGUUGUCUUCUUUCCGUUAAUCGGUUAUGUCAAUAAUUAGAAACAUAACAAAGUUAUAUUUGCAAUUUAAAUUUUUUUAUAUAUAUAUAAUAUUGAAUUUCUUAAAUAUACUUUUUAAACAUAAAUCACAAGUAAAAUGUAAAACACAAUACUUAAAAGUAUAUCAAUUAUACAUGCCCAAACAUAAAAAAAUAAACUAAAUCAUAAUGAAAAUAACUAAAAAGGGACAAAAGUAAUUAACUCCAACUUAAUUCUAAAACAUGAUUUUUCUGGUUUUCAUUUUUCUAAAUCCAAAAUCAAACCAAAAAACCAAACAAAGUAAAUUAUAAAUCCAAAACCAAACCAAAAAUCCAAAAAACCAAUCCAAAUUAGAAUUUGGUUUGGUUUUUCGGUUUAAUCCAAAUAGUGCACACCCCUAGUGUGAUUAGACAACAAUAACAAAUCCAGUGCAGUUCCACAAAGUGAGAUUUGAGGAGGGUAGAAUCUAUGCGGACCUUACCCUACUGCAAAGGUAGAGAAACAAUAAAGUUUAAUAGAAAAAGGAAUCGAGCAAUUUCCAACUAUGCUCAACUAUUAUAAAUAGUGGAGAUUGAUGGCAAAGAUUGUUAACUCCAAGUAGUUCUUUGUAUAUCUGCUUUAACUUUGGACAGAGCACACAAAAUGAGCAACACUUACUAUCUUCCACUCUACUUGGCUUUUGUUUUUCUAAUCGUACUUCUUUUGAACCUUUCAGACAUCUUACUAGUGCAGGCAAAUGGUGAAAGCAAAGUGAGAAAUGAGCAUUUUCUCUUUUACUAGUCUACUUAGUAAUAACUC
rnacentral:lncRNA from 1 species